rnacentral:SRP_RNA from 1 species
GCCAGGUGCGGUGGCUCACACCUGUAAUCCCAGCAAUUUGGGAGGCCGAGGUGGGUGGAUUGCUUGAGGUCAGGAGUUCCAGACCAGCCUGGCCAACAUAGUGAAAACCCAUCUCUA